rnacentral:miRNA from 1 species
CAACGAGUCCUUGAAAUUACCGG